UUUUGUAGUUCAUGAACGGCCAGCGAACUUAAAGUAGCAACAACAGCAACACCGUAGCGACAAAAGCCGCAACGAAACGACAGCUAUUGUGGGUGUGUGUGUGUGUGUGUGUGCUAAGGCUAAAAACUAAAAUAGAAACAAGCCAUGCUGCAAAAUAAACUAACGACAACAACAAUGACAACAAGCGAUCAGUUGCCUACAAUGUAUUGCUGCAUUGUCGGUGUGUGGCAUGUUGCAGUUAAUAAGCGGAGAGGCAACAAUAUGUGUGUAAUUGACAUUUGAAGCUGCAGUUGUACAAUUUUAUGUCUAACGGUAAAGACUCUUCGACGCGCUGAAAACACUGCUAAGCUUGGCGAGGUAUCGAGAGAAGACUCGCUGAUGUCUUUGAAGACUGCAAAUACUUUACCUAUGACUCAAGAUCUGUCUCAAAUAGUGAUUCUUAAUAACUGAUACCUUUUGGAGCUUGGCAAAGUAAAAGACAAUGUAAAAAUUACAUUCAGUCAUAUUAGAGACGUCACCUAUCUAUUCUAACUUAAAUUUUCAAAUUUCUUUACGAAGUCGUAGU